CCACACUUAAAACCUUGCUUGUCCUCAAGCAACUAGACAUCAUAAAAAAAAUCUAAAUGUGCAGAACUUGCCCUCAUCGAUAACAACACUUAGGCUAGCCAACCCGACAUAAUUAAAAAACCUAAAUGUAAGGAACUCACUUUCACCCGCGACAAUACUCAGGCUAGCCCGACCAACCCAACAAGCCACCGUAUAACCUGACAUCACUCAGAAAAACCUAAAUUAUGUAUGAACAUGUUUUGAAAAAUUCAAAUGGAGGUAGAGAUGUUAUAUUUAAAUAAGUGAUAAAUUAUUUAAACGUAGUUUGGCAGUCUUAUCAACCUAUUUUAGCUCGACAACCCGUCAACUCAACAUGUUUUUAAGUAACG
rnacentral:lncRNA from 1 species